rnacentral:rRNA from 1 species
UACGAAGGGGGCUAGCGUUGCUCGGAAUCACUGGGCGUAAAGCGCACGUAGGCGGAUCUUUAAGUCAGGGGUGAAAUCCCAAGGCUCAACCUUGGAACUGCCUUUGAUACUGGGGAUCUCGAGUCCGGAAGAGGUUGGUGGAACUCCGAGUGUAGAGGUGAAAUGCGCAGAUAUCGGGAGGAACACCAAUGGCGAAGGCAGCUCGCUGGGACGGUACUGACGCUGAGACGCGAAAGCGUGGGGAGCAAACAGG